GAUGAACGCUGGCGGCGUGCCUAAUACAUGCAAGUCGAGCGAACAGACGAGGAGCUUGCUCCUCUGACGUUAGCGGCGGACGGGUGAGUAACACGUGGAUAACCUACCUAUAAGACUGGGAUAACUUCGGGAAACCGGAGCUAAUACCGGAUAAUAUAUUGAACCGCAUGGUUCAAUAGUGAAAGACGGUUUUGCUGUCACUUAUAGAUGGAUCCGCGCCGCAUUAGCUAGUUGGUAAGGUAACGGCUUACCAAGGCAACGAUGCGUAGCCGACCUGAGAGGGUGGUCGGCCAAACUGGAACUGAGACACGGUCCAGACUCCUACGGGAGGCAGCAGUAGGGAAUCUUCCGCAAUGGGCGAAAGCCUGACGGAGCAACGCCGCGUGAGUGAUGAAGGUCUUCGGAUCGUAAAACUCUGUUAUUAGGGAAGAACAAAUGUGUAAGUAACUAUGCACGUCUUGACGGUACCUAAUCAGAAAGCCACGGCUAACUACGUGCCAGCAGCCGCCGUAA
rnacentral:rRNA from 1 species